AGCUGGACUCUGGGCAUCAUGUACUACAAAUUUAGUGGCUUCACGCAGAAGUUGGCCGGAGCAUGGGCUUCGGAGGCCUAUAGCCCGCAGGGAUUAAAGUCUAUGGUUUCCACAGAAGCACCACCUAUCAUAUUUGCCACACCAACUAAACUGACCUCCGAUUACACAGUGUAUGAUUAUGCUGGAAAAAACAGAGUUCCAGAGCUUCAGAAGUUUUUCCAGAAAACUGAUGGUGUGCCCGUCUACCUGAAACGAGGCCUGCCUGACCAAAUGCUUUACCGGACCACCAUGGCGCUGACUGUGGGAGGGACCGUCUACUGCCUGAUCGCCCUCUACAUGGCUUCAUAGCCUAAAAACAAAUGAGUUAGGCCGCAGAGGACUGGUUUGUUUUGUGGCAUAAACCCUUUGAAUUUCCUUUUUCAUUGUUAAAUUAAAAAAAAUUUUUUUUUACUUCGAUGGCUUAAUAUUUUUGCAAGAAAAAUAGGAAGAUAUGAAGAUGAUGUUUUGGUUUGUUUAUGAAAUGCAUAUGGCUUGUCAGAGCUCAUUUGACCGUUAAAGCCAUUGUUUAAAGAAAUGGCGCUUUGCUCUGUGUUUGUGCUCCUGAUUUCCCUGGAGGUUCUGGAUGAAGGCUGCACACAGGCUUGUCAACGUCAGUCUGUGCUGAGGACCUCAGGGACUUGAGGUUGCAUUUUUGAGCAUGGAGUGCAGAAGGCUUUCUGGAUUUGGAUGUGGCUGUGGAAAGAACACAGAAGCCAAGGUCAUGUGCAUGAAAUGAGGGGUUUGAGUUAGUCACCUCAGGGAUUUUUUCCAUUUUGCAGUAAAAUGUUAAAUUAAUGUAGCCUGCCUCUAUUCGUUGGGCAGUUAAUUUCAAAGGGUUAUUUGCCUCGUCUCCUAUCUUCAGUGAAAUCUUAUGUGUAAUUGUGUGUAUUUACUCCACCAUGGGAACAGAGAACACCUGUUUAGUGUUGCACUUUAGACCGGUGUCUGUUUUGUUAAUGCAGCUGUGUCACAAAUCAUCCUUU